CAGCGGCAGCCCUGGCAGAGGCGGACGGACUGGAUCUCCCGGCGGCGUCAACCGAACCGACCGGCGCGGGCUGGCGGGCUGGAGGGCAGGUGAGGAGCCAAAGUCGGGGCGCACCUGUUCAAUCCCAGAGGCUACGGAAAGGCCGGUGGACAGGCCUUCACAAGAGUCUGAGAAGCCUCUAGACACCAAGCCUGCAGAGAGCUUCCAUGAGAAGAAAGGGGCAGCCAAGCGGCAGUGGCCUUCAUCUGAAGCGGAAGGUAGGACACACCCAGGAGGGUACAGAACCUGAGGUGCGUUUGGGGAUGGGGCGCACAGGAGCCUGUGGUGGGAUGCUAGUAGCAGGGGGCGUGCCCUAACGGUGGAGGGGGUUUUAGGACCUUUAAUAUCAGAGUUCUAGUUGGAAGAUGUAAUAAGUUUAGUCAAGGUUUAGGUGAGUUCCCACGUGGUAGAUGCGGAACACACAGGCAAGAGGGCUAAGCAGUGCGCAGAUCCCAAGCAGGCCUGCUGUCCUCCCGAGGGCUGGACGCCUUUGGCCCCAGUGUCGUUCCUUCGGCAUUCCACAGACUGGGACAGAGCCUGGGAAGCUGCUCCCCUGCGGAGCACGGUCCCGUGGGAGCCCUCUGCCUGGCCACAGAGAUCACGGAGGGGAUAGGAUGUUGGUGAAACAGCUGGGCAGAGUUACUCACCGUAACAGCCUUUGGGUGUGGGUCGGGGUUGAAGCCACAGAAGCAGCAGAAUGUGAAGUCUUUCAUCAGUUUUAUCAUGUCGGUCGUGGAAAUGGAAUUGUUAGGUAAUUAAACCAAGGGAGGAACGAUGGGGUUUGUGUCUCCAGCACAGAGGCCUCUCACAGGCCCAUUGCUGUAACUGGGUAGGAACCAGUGAGGCUGCGGCGGCGGGAAUUGCCGAGUGAUAGGGUGUGAGGGCAAAGCAGGGAGCCAUGGCCGUGGGCUUCGGUGACUGUGAGGACGCAUGGCCGGUGGGUCAGACAAGGAAGGGCAGGAUGGAUGCCCGCCUGGCAGGGGAGAGGAGCUGGGCACAGACAGCUUCAGACCGAGCCCCCUGAGGGUCACCAAGGGCAGGAAACGUUUGAGAUGAGGGCGUUUGCCUUGGGGGCAAGGCCUGGACUUCAGAUCCCAACUUAAGAGCCCUUACUUGAGGGCUGAAGAGUGCAGGAAGGGCCAGAGUCCUGGGGGGACGUUUGGAAAACUGCUACUAGUCUGUCGGGAGGCUUUUGGCUGUCAGUCACAGAAAAGCCAUCCAGACACAGCUUUAGUGCUGAGGGGCUCGGUACCCCCCAAACAGAGGCGAGGUCAGAGGUAGGGCCCUCGGCGUGGCAGCAUCGCAGGCUGUGUGUCUACACUCUGCCAUCCUCUGUGUCCACGGUCCGCAGAGGGCUGGACGGCUCUUGGUGUCACACACGUGGGACUGCGUCUAGUUUGUGAGAGGCGUUACUUCUUGCUUCGUGUCAGCAAGGAGAAUCUUCCCCCAGAAGCCUUGUGUGCCCGGUGUCUCCAGGAUGGGCUGGACCUCUGCCAGCAAGGGAAGGUGUGGGCAGGGGACUCCACCAACAGUGUGUGUCAUACUCUCACUUCGGGGGUGGAGUGAGGAUGGAGUUUCAAGAAAGCGAGUGGAGACUGCAGUCACAAGGAAUGUGCCGCCCUGUGUACGACGCCCGAAAGCAUGAUGCGAGUGAAAGAAGCCAGAUAUAGAUUCCUAUUCCAUUUAUAUGAAAAGUCCUGCAAAGGCAAAUCCAUAUGGAGGGAAGCCUGGGCUAAGGGUGGGUACAGGGAUCGGUCACAAGAGGGCACAAGGGCCCUUUUGAGGGUGAUGGAAGUAGUCUCAAAACUGAAUCAAUGGUUGCCCAACUUUGAAAGUUUACUGAAUUCCAUUUAAUUGCAUGCUUUAAACAGGUAAAUUUUGUGGUAUUUAAAUUGUACUGAAGAAAGCUGUUAAGAAAGGAGAACUAGCUGGCAGUGUUGAAUGCUGCAGCGAGGUGGAGUAAACUCAGAGAAGACUGUCGAAUGAGACCAGCAGCUGGUCUUGCUGGCCUUGCAGCGAGAGGCACUGGGAGUCGGGAGUGAGGACAGGACCUGGUCUGCCAGGAGCAACACCUCAAGUAGGGCAGGAGCAUCUUCUCUUCCACAUUCUGGUUUUAAAGCUGAGGAAUUCCCCUAUUAGAUUUGGGAAAGUGACAACUUUCGGAAGUCACGUUUCUUUAAGUCAUCCUAAUGCCAUAAAAGCCUCAGAGAAAUAGAAAGGUCAACAAGUCAAAAAUUCUGUGUGUUAUACAAUUUAAAAAGUAGGUUUUACCACUGUUGGGUAGAAAUCAGAAAAUGAUUGCUGGGCUGGGGCCGGGGCAGGCUAGCUGACUGGAACAGGGCCCGUGGGAGCUUUGUGGGGUGGAGGAAAGUUCUGCAUCUCGUUUGCGUGAUGACACGGGUGCGUACAGUUGUGGAAAACUCUCCCGCUGAACAGUAAGGACCCUGCGUUUUGUCUAGUGUGAGUUAUGCCGUGGACAACAUGGAAUACGCAUGAGUCCUUGUCUCUUAGAGCCGCACCCGAAGUAUUUUAAGGGCAAAUGGACGUGCUGGGUGGGGAUUUGCUGCCACGGGAAGGGGUGCACCUGUCUCUGCAGGUGCUACAGCCCCUCUCAGCCCACGGGUCCUGUGGUGUGACCUGGGGGUCUACGUCCCAUCUCCAAAUCUCUGAAGGCCUGACACUCUCCUGUAACCAGUGGAGUGGUGGAAGUGACUUGUGGGCUGGGCGGCCUGGCCGGGCUCACGGGGACGCUGGCUGUGCUGGGAGCCACUGUGCUGGGAAGUGCUCGGCUGCUGGGCAGGCCACAGGGGAGCCGCAGCCCGCGGUCCUGAUCUCGCAGCCCGUCCAGCCCAGGUGCCGGGCUUGUGACGAGCUUGUCGUGACUCCAGCCCCAGGCUUGGAGUCUCCCUAGCCGAGCCACUGCACAGCACGUAGCAGCCCUGCGAGUGGACAUCCACGUGUCCAGCCCAGCUGAGCCUUCAGACAGCAUCUGACUGCAGCCCCUGGGAAACCACAGGUGACAACUGCAGUAGAACCUUUCCUGAAUUCCUGAGCCAUAAAACGGUAAGAAAAUGGUGGUUUCAAGCUGCUGAGGUCUGGGGUGAGCCACUACUCAGCUGUAGUAACCAGCACACAGGGGAAGAGCUGGAGUGAGGUCAGCUUUGCCUGGGGUUUAUGAGGACUUUGGCAGUUGGGCGAUGAGUUGUAUUGUACUAUUCCCACUGCUUCUGUCUGUGCUUCAAAUUUCGCAUUACAGAAUCCACAAACAUACAUUAUACAGACCGAACACCACGAGCUGGCAGUCAGCCAAUUCCAAAACGCUGCAGAUUCUUCUGAAAAAAGAACUCUGAUUUUUCUACAAAUAAAUGACUUGUAAAAAAGGUGGUGUCUUGGGCUUCCCUGGUGGCGCAGUGGUUGAGAGUCCACCUGCCGAUGCAGGGGACACGGGUUCGUGCCCUGGUCCGGGAGGA